rnacentral:lncRNA from 1 species
UGAUUUUGAUUUUUUUUUUUGUAGGCAUCAAGUGCCAGGCAAAUCAGGUGUGGGUGAUGAUUUAGGUGUACACUGUCUUGCAGUAAGCAUCACGUCUUGAACUUGAGUGAUUUUAUUUGUUCUUUGUUUUCUUCUUUUUUACAACUAUAUUGUAUGGCUUUCUCUUUCAUGAGAAAUUGGGUAACAACAAAUUAAUGGGACUUUUCAGAGUUUGAUGUAAAUGGAUCUUGAAAUUUUUUACUAUGUUCCAUAUGAUAAUAUUAAUUACUCAUUUGGUUGCAUUCACUUGUUCACAAACAUUGGUUUAGCAACAGUUCAUUCUAUAACAUGACUAGCACUAAUUUUGAGGUCAUUUUAUGUUCCACUCAUCGUCAUAUAGUGGUGUAAUGCUGGAAUACUACCUGAAGGGUUCUAAAUUCUAACAAAAUGAUGUACACAUAUCUGUUGUCUUAAAUGCGAAGAAAAUAUGUGUUUGUCAAUUUGUUGUAAUAUCAUUCUAUUUUCUAAUUAUCUAUUUUCUAAUUUGUUGUAAUAUGGGACUUUUCAGAGUUUGAUGUAAAUGGAUCUUGAAAUUUUUGACUAUGUUCCAUAUGAUAAUAUUAAUUACUCAUUUGGUUGCAUUCACUUGUUCACAAACAUUUGUUUAGCAACAGUUCAUUCUAUAACAUGACUAGCACUAAUUUUGAGGUCAUUUUAUGUUCCACUCAUCGUCAUAUAGUGGCGUAAUGCUGGAAUACUACCUGAAGGGUUCUAAAUUCUAACAAAAGGAUGUACUUAUAUCUGUUGUCUUAAAUGCGAAGAAAAUAUGUGUUUGUCAUUUGUUGUAAUAUCAUUCUAUUUUCUAAUUAUCUAAGCACAUUUAUAGGUGGUGAUGUUACAACUUCUACAAGGUCUUUCAUGUUUUCCGUUUCCUAAUUUGCUGGUAGUAAAUUGUUUUGUUAUUAUAAGCUUUUGUACCAUUUGUAAGAAUUAUUUACCAACUUAUUCAAUUAGUGCUACUCAAAGUUAUCCUUAUCUUAAAUUGUAAUAUUUGUUUAUUUUGUGAUAAAAGAAGCGACACUAUGCACAUAACAAUAGCAAUAAAACUAAUUGGACUGUAUAGUCUCAUGAUUAUG